UCCUCCAUGGCGCAAUUGGCUAGCGCGUCUGACUGUUACUCACUGUCUGUCUGGUACAUACCGUAACCCAGCCGCGAGCGAGCAAUCAGGAGGUUCCUGGUUCGAGCCCAGGUGGGGGAG
rnacentral:tRNA from 1 species